UACGUAGGGGGGCAAGCGUUUGUCCGGAAUCAUUGGGCGUAAAGCGCGUGUAGGCGGCCCGAUAAGUCCGCUGUGAAAGUCCAGGGCUCAACCCUGGGAUGCCGGUGGAUACUGUCGGGCUCGAGUCCGGAAGAGGAGUGUGGAAUUCCUAGUGUAGCGGUGAAAUGCGCAGAUAUCAGGAGGAACACCAAUGGCGAAGGCAGCACUCUGGGACGUGACUGACGCUGAGACGCGAAAGCGUGGGGAGCAAACAGG
rnacentral:rRNA from 1 species